rnacentral:rRNA from 1 species
CCUACGGGUGGCAGCAGUCGAGAAUCAUUCACAAUGGGCGAAAGCCUGAUGGUGCGACGCCGCGUGGAGGAUGACAGCCCUAGGGUUGUAAACUCCUGUCAUGAGAGAGUAAAGACUUAACGUUAAUACCGUUGGGUCCUGAUAGUAUCUCAAGAGGAAGGGACGGCUAACUUCGUGCCAGCAGCCGCGGUAAUACGAAGGUCCCAAGCGUUGUUCGGAAUUACUGGGCGUAAAGCGUGCGUAGGUGGCAUGGUAAGUCAGAUGUGAAAUCCCGGGGCUCAACCCCGGAACUGCAUCCGAUACUGCCAAGCUAGAGUAGUGGAGGGGAGUCUGGAAUUCACGGUGUAGCAGUGAAAUGCGUAGAUAUCGUGAGGAACACUAGUGGCGAAGGCGAGACUCUGGACACUAACUGACACUGAGGCACGAAGGCUAGGGUAGCG